rnacentral:rRNA from 1 species
UAGGGAAUAUUGCGCAAUGGGGGAAACCCUGACGCAGCAACGCCGCGUGAAGGAUGGAGGCCUUCGGGUCGUAAACUUCUGUCAAAAGGGAAGAAGGUCCAUCGGUUAAUAGCCGGUGUACUUGACGGUACCUUUAGAGGAAGCCCCGGCUAACUCCGUGCCAGCAGCCGCGGUAAUACGGAGGGGGCAAGCGUUAUUCGGAAUUAUUGGGCGUAAAGGGCGUGUAGGCGGCCUGACAGGUCAAAGGUGAAAUCCCUCGGCUCAACCGAGGAACUGCCUUUGAAACCUUCAGGCUAGAGGCCGGGAGAGGCUAGCGGAAUUCCCAGUGUAGCGGUGAAAUGCGUAGAUAUUGGGAGGAACACCAGUGGCGAAGGCGGCUAGCUGGACCGGUUCUGACGCUGAGGCGCGAAAGCGUGGGGAGCAAACAGGAUUAGAUACCCCCGUAGUCC